GUCUUAUCAAGAGUGGUGGAGGGACUGGCCCUAUGAAACCCGGCAACCUACUAAGUUAGUAAUUAGGUUAUGAAUGUGUACUAUCAAUUAGUUUUGAUGGUUAUAUUUUGAUGCAAAUUAUUAAUAGUGUGGUGCUAAUUCCAGCAGUAUUAAACUGAUAGAUAAGUA
rfam:Clostridium baratii str. Sullivan, complete genome.